AUACGUAGGAUCCGAGCGUUGUACGGAUUUACUGGGCGUAAAGGGUGCGUAGGCGGCGUGGUAAGUCUCAUGUGAAAUCUCCCGGCUUAACUGGGAGGGGUCAUGGGAUACUGCCAUGCUCGAGGGCAGUAGAGGAGAGCGGAAUUCCGGGAGUAGCGGUGAUAUGCGUAGAUACCCGGAGGAACACCCGUGGCGAAAGCGGCUCUCUGGGCUGUACCUGACGCUAAGGCACGAAAGCGUGGGGAGCAAACCGGAUUAGAAACCCCGGUAGUCC
rnacentral:rRNA from 1 species